UUUCCAUGUCGCCCCAUGAUUUCAUACAGAUGAUGGUGCUAGACGGUUGCUUCAUGCUCGAGCUCUUCCGAGGCGAUGUCUAUGGCUUCGAGAAACUGGGAUACUCUUGUAACG